CUGCAGCUAACUUCAAAGGCAGCGUCUGGGUCCUGGCUCCAGGUUUGCUACGUUUUUCUCAUCUCACUGAGCGCAGAUCAGACGGUAAGAGGCAGCGCAUUUGUCAGCUAUGCUCUUAAUGAAGAUACCGCUUGCCUCUUUAGCACGGCUUGGCCUGCUGACUACAGCUGAUGAUGAGCAGAGCCCAAGUCAGCUCAGCUCCCUGUCAGUCUCAUCUCUGCCUUCCACUUCCUACUUUUGCACCAGUCGUUGGUCUUGGCCUCCUCAUGCACGGCUGCAGGGCCUGCUCCCUAUCUCAAGACUCCACCUGCAGCCGUGGUGUUUCCUUUCAAAGAGCAGAAGGUAAGAAGUGAGAAAGCUUCAUGGAACAUGGGCCUCCGGGCCUCUCGUGUUAGCAGGCUUCACCUACACAGUAAGAAAUACCCACUGCCCUAGUUCCUUCCAUUUGUUACGGUGUUGUAGGGACUGGUGGCUCUCUUAGUCCUCCUGGAUGCAGAACCCUGGGGGUGACUCAAGUCUCAGCUCAGAUUUCUGGAUAAGGUUUGGCUACUGUGUUGUCCCGUGAUGUUUUCUGUUGUAAGAAGCAGUGAGCCGUGAGCAGAUGUUCCAGAUUUCAAGAACAAGGACAGGUCACUGGGCCUUCCAGAUCUGUGUGGCAGAAAAGCAUCCUGCCUGAUGAGUGCCUGCAGAGUCCUUGCCUGGCAGGAGAAAAGCCCCACUGCGGACGGUCCCUGGUGCCAGGCACUGGGCUGACUAAAGUAGAUGAUUUAUCUCAAAGUCACUCUGCACUCCUGGUGGGUUUAAACUAUCAAUUCACACCUGUCUCCUUUGGUGCAGGAGCAAACAGCUUCAGUCAGUCUGGGAGUAAAAAUCCCAUCUGAGCUCACAGACGUUUGUUAUCCAGAGAGGAACCCCUCCCACGGCCUCGGAGAGAGAUGAUCUCAGUCAAAGCACUGAAAUGUGAAGUCAUUUUUCUGACAGAAUGCCUCCCCGUGCCCUUGUUGCGAGGAGGAAGCAGAGGGCACAGAUAUUUGAGAUGUCUGUGUUAAUAAAAUAAUUUAAGAAAGACCACACCACUGAUCCUGCAUCCCUCUGCUCUGCAGAAACGGCUGUGAAAUGUUCAUCCUGGUGGGCUGCGACUCUCUGAGCAUCCAUUUGCCCAACUGUCUCCUUUAUUCAAAUAAUUGUCUUAAAAUUAAUUCAGUCUGGGGAAAAUCUAUUCCAAAACAGAGCAAAUUAGCAUCCCAAGAUGCGAGCUGCUUCUUUCUCAAUGUGAAAGGCAACGCUGUGGGGGUUGGGGCCAGUGGAGAAAGAAGAUAUUUGCUCCUGAAAAUAGGCUCAACAUAACCUUUACAUUUACUAAAUAAUUCACUCAUCUGGAACCAUAAAACCAUCACGGCUAGAAGGACUGUGAACAUUCCCAGAAUAUAUUAACUUUGACCAUGACUUGAGCCUUUUCCAGGGCAGUUUGAGUGUAUCUGAUGCAAAGAAACAACUCUGAACACAAACCGGUUGUGUGAGAGCAGAAUUCAAAGCUCAGCUUUAAGGAAACUGCGAUCUCGGUUUACGUGAGAAACUGCUUCAAAGUGAUGAGGAUACACAUACAGGGAUUAGAAAACCAAAGAACAGCUCAAAUGGAAAUUGUCCUUUUGUUAAUCCAUGUAUUUUAUUCCCAGCGCAGCUCUACCUUCAUCUGAACUUGUCUCCCAGCAAUUUUCCACCUCAACUCAGAAUCACUGUAAGUUGAGCUCUUACUGCAAAGCGAACCUUCUGUAACUCCCAUCUCUCACCUACGUUUGAAGAUCUUACACAUCCCCUUUCCUAAGGCUCCGGUAACUUAUCAAAUAGGACCGUAACCACGUUGCUUAAUGACAGCUGGGACACUCGUCAUUACUCACCUCUUUCACAUCCAUCCAUCUCCAGCAAAAGGUGGUGUUCAAUCUGUUACAGCAGCUUAAUGCCUGCCCAGCAUAAAAGUGUCACAGAUGCUCACCAUCACCCAUCAUAAAUAAAACAUGAGGCUCCUUGCAAGGUCUGCAGAUCGUCCCUGCGUUUGAUGGAAUUGGUUUUGGCGUGUGACAGUGCAGGACUGGAAAGUCGCUGGAUGCCCUUCAUUACGACAAAUGGGCUAUUGAUCUCCAGCUGUGCCAUUAGCACACAUUGCACCUGCUGCUGGAGCUCAUAGGAUACGUUUGAAAGCUUAAGCGAGGGGAAUGCGUCUGUGCACAGGUAAUUAGUCUCUCGACAGAACGUACAAAGGCUCACAAGACAGACAGGCACAGGUACGGACCAUGCGUCUGAAACGGGCUUUGAAAUGCUACUUGAGAAAGAAUCGCAGAGAGGUUAAGACACCUGCAUGAAAGCCUCAGUUUUUGCUAACCCAUACUGCUGUCCAGAUUAAACAGGGACAGCUGAAGUGUGGGGGGAAAAGAAAGGGCUGAGAUUCACCCUGCUGCUUAUUGAGCACUGCAGGUUCAUUAGCUUUGAACACCCUGCGCGCCUCUCAUAUGCAUUACUCAUAGGCUUCCCACUGUACCCAGGUUUAUAGUACCGAGUGAUGCCUAAAUUCAUCAUCUGUACGCCCACAGCUCUUUGUGCCCACACAGCCCUUCUCUGCAAAGCAUUGAGGGACCCGGGGCAGCAGCUUCCCAGCCCUCAGCGUGUGGGGGCUCUUGGCACUGAGUGAUGGCAGCCACAUGACACGGGAAGAGCUGGCAACAGAAAACUAAGGAGCUUAGGGCUUCCUAACUGGAGAUCACCAGUGUGAGCAGUCACUAUUGGGGCGCACAAGCAGUUGGAAAGGUGUUAUUCCUUCCUGGAGAUCACAAGAAUGUGUCUGUGGGCACGGCUGCCCUGGCCUUACCAGGAAGCUCCUGCCACUGCCAGCACUGCUGCUGUGCAGAGCAUUGGGCCGAGCCAAGGCUGCUGCAGAACGGCUUCAUCUGUAGGGUCAGCAAGGGCAUAGGAGCACGGGUUUCACUUGGGCCCUUGGCAAGGAAGCUGUAGCCAUAUUCUCCCAUCCCAUGGUAACACAAGGGGGAGCCCCUGUAGCUUUCAAUUAGCAACGAGAGCAGCAACACAUUACUUUCUACCCCACAUGCAAAAGCUCAGCUUCAAUUACAAAGAGAGGCCUGAAAGCCACUUCUUACCUGCAUCACAAGGAGAGUGCUUCUAGCUCAGACAGGUGCAAGCCACAACUUACCAGGAGAGGAAGGAACAGCAGGCCUAGUGACUUCAGGCUCGUUUUCCUCUGUCCUGCUUUGUCAUUUCAAGGCACUUCAAAAACCCCACACAAAGACUAUGCUGGUACCAGAGGUGACAGAGAAACCUCGUGGUCAUAUUCUGCCCACCAUGAUGAGAGAUCAGGACGAUCCCUUUAACCCCUCAUUAAAAGGCUCUGCCAACUCCCAGCAAUCCCAUCAGCUGCCUGUGCUUGUACCCAAGAAGGAACAGUUUUGGCUGCUAGGGCAUGAGCAUCCAUUUGUUCUUAACCUCAAAAAGACAUAGUUGGUUUUGCUCUCCGUUGCCAUCCAAUUUUAAAUACAGAGCACCUCACCAUCUAUUCUACGUAUGCAGCUCUUUGGGAUCAAGAGGAGCAUUAACCACAAGGAUUUUCUCCCGUCUCUCCUUUGUAGGGUUUACAAUGAAACAACAUCUUACAAGUCACUGACUCACACACUUCUGCUGUACCAGCCUUCCCCCAUAGCUGUGUCUUAGUUCUCUUUAAAGCACUCCACAGCAUAUAUUGAACCAGUGAAACAAUUCCAUCUGUUCUGUGAGUCAACGGUGAUGAUUUCACUGUUAAAACAGUGAAGAAGAAGGGACUUCUCUCUGUGCAGCUGUGCUAAAUCCAACAAGAGAGAAGGGCAUGCCGUGCUCAGAGCAACAACUUCAGACGGCACCACAGCAUUGGGGCCCCACUGCUGGAGGUCUGUCUAGCCCUGCCUGGCACCUUACAGGCCAUGGUCUCAAUCAGAAUUAUUACAGGAUGGCUUCCUAGCACCUUCCUCACGCUCCUGCCCAGCUCUCCCUCCAGCACAUGCAGGUUCAGGCACAACCCACAGGUCCUCGCUGCACAGCAAGCGCCAGCACGCAGGUAACAAUUGCAUCAGUCAGAAGCAAAUCGAUUAAUCCAACAAUACCGCAACAAAUUGGCCCUGGAGCAAUUCAAUUGAGUUAAAAGGCAGGACGGAAAAGCAGGUUAACUGAGAAAAGCGUUAACACAGUCAUUUAAUGGAAACCUUGACGUUCUGGCUCCAGUCAAGUGCAAAAGAUUCUUUUUGGGUCAGCUACUGGCCACACAACCCCCUCCAGCCAAAACGCUGGGAUGCAACUCCAGCUCAGAGAUCAGAUCUGCUCAAUGUAAGGCUCAAGGGCCAUCCCUCAAGCUCAUCUCUCCAUCCACAGCAGGCAACAUCUAGGGAAAGCAGGCUGACUGGGCUAAGGAUGCUGUCUGAUUUGCUCCUUUAAGUCCUGCUCCAUUGCUAGGAAUACCUCAAGCCUUUCUACACCCCUGAUCUGCAGGCUGGGCACUGGGUUAUUUCAACCAAGCCACUCCAGUGAAUAUUUCCAAGCCCAGAGCUGCAAGUUUGAAGCCAAAAGACAUCAUCAGUGACUGGUGCAGAGAUACAGGCAGAGACGCAGGAUCAAACAUAUCUGUGACACCUGGCAAGGCAAACCAUAGCCUCUCAAAAUGAUGAGCGGAUGCCACUGUUAGAACCUAGAUUUUACUUUGUAUGGGCUCAAACACCAUCCCCUCGGUGGGGCUGACCGAAGCAAUUCAGGACACAGGACAUGAAGGCCAUCUAUUCAGAUAUCACUAGAGGACAGCUGGUGUCAGGGGAAUUCUUAAGGAAUGACUUCUGACGGUGCGUGACACUUCAGUAACACCUACCCCCCCUCCUGGAUGUGCUUCCAAAGUGACAGCGUCAUGCUUUGGAAAACACACACGUACAAUUUGCUAGAACAUGAUGUGUAUGAGUUGAAAGCACAAUGGCUGGCGAGCAGGCUGAGAUCAUUACGAAGAGAAUGCUUAAAAGGUAACGUAUGGGGCACUGCAGUAGCAGCACGGCCAUCUCCAGUAAUGAGGGAGACACUCUGCACGGAUAUUUGGCUCAUUCCGAAAGCAAUAAGCCACAGGAAGGCAGCAGCACCACAGCACUGGUUACCAAUGAGGAGCCCUUGCCCUUCCCUGAAUGCAAAAGCAUUCAUGCCGAUGGGUUGCUCAUGCACAACAAAACGCAUUAUGUAAGAGCACCACAGCAGAAAGCAAGAAGAAAAAGCUUUUAUGCCACAAAAAAGACUUGCAUGCAAGCAACGGACUAUCUCCUCAAUACCAUCAUAUCUCCCUACUUAAAGUUACCUUCUGGGAAACAGCACAACUAAGUUCACUUUCCUGCCUCCAGCUGCCUACCUCCUCCUGUCCGUGCAUUUCUGUUUGUCUCAGAUACAGCUGCUGGCAACUUUCAGAGGACUCGGAAGGUUUGAUUAUGAAGGUAGCGUGGCGCUGUGUUUCCUUCAGUCGAAAGCCUUCCCCUCUGUGCAGCCCCCCAUGCCUCACCCCUGCUACAGCCGUCCCAAUUCUGCUAACAAACCUGCUUCUUUUUUCAAGUCAGAUAGGUCCUGAUUGCUCAGAUUGUCUAAAAUGUUCUGUGCACUUAACCAUAAACUCAUGUAUGAGUAAUGCACCGAAAUGAAGUCGGUGACCUCAGCUCCAGUGCUCACCAGAUAAGAACACAUUACCAUCCUUUGUGAAAGAGGGCAGAGAUGUUGAGAAAAGUCCCAAGUUGCAAAAAUUGUACCUUGUUUUCCAAAUCCCCCUUUAAAUCUGGAACAAAACACCCUUCACCCUGUUUAAAAACACUGAAUUUUGUAGAGAUGUUCCCAGACGGUCAAACUAUUGAUCCAGUUACAGGAAGGGGAACAAGAGGGCCCUAUGAACGCAUCAAUCCCUCACAUUGUGACUGGCUGAGACAGACCACUAAUACAAAUGUCUUCUUCAGACAGACAAGAAACCCUCUGCCCAAAUCCUGUCACUUCAGUGCUACAAAAGCUCUGACUUUGGAAUGCAGUUCUAAAAGGGACUGUGCUGGAAGCAGUAGGCUUUGGCAUGCUCUUGGCUUUGGCCAUCUACACCUCACCUUUAGAGACUGAGGAGGGAAAGCAAGCAGUUGGUUGGAGGCAGCACUGAGGAAGGGUGUGGGACCUUUCCGGCAGGAUUCACGAAGAAAUGCCCCUUUGCUAUCAAACUGCCUCUGAACUCACACUCAUUUAGCACGUACAACCAAAUCUGAGUUUACAUAGUUAUCUUUGAGCUCUUUUCCACCUUCUAUUUUUCCUCCCCUCUCCAUAUCCCGUGAUCUCUUUCUCCCUUUCUUAGCCCAUAUUACCCCUUCAUCAUUUCUACCUUCACUUGCUCAGUCCCAAUGGCACUGAUUCAGAGCACCGCUCCUCUUCAGUCUUCUGGUAUUGUCAAUACUACGGUGAAGGGCAGAUCAAUAGUGCUCCAUUUGUACCGAGAAAUAAAAACUAUGCUAAUUCCUC